rnacentral:rRNA from 1 species
UACGUAGGGGGCAAGCGUUGUCCGGAUUUAUUGGGCGUAAAGAGCGUGUAGGCGGCCAAGCAGGUCCGCUGUGAAAACUCGAGGCUCAACCUCGAGACGUCGGUGGAAACCGUUUGGCUAGAGUCCGGAAGAGGAGAGUGGAAUUCCCGGUGUAGCGGUGAAAUGCGCAGAUAUCGGGAAGAACACCCGUGGCGAAGGCGGCUCACUGGCUCGUAACUGACGCUCAUGCACGACAGCGUGGGGAUCAAACAGG